rnacentral:tRNA from 1 species
AUCAAAUUAGUUUAAAUAAAAAUAUCGAGUUGUGGCCUCGAAGUUAACAGUUAUUAUUUAUUUGAUU